rnacentral:rRNA from 1 species
AACGGCGGCCGUAACUAUAACGGUCCUAAGGUAGCGAAAUUCCUUGUCGGGUAAGUUCCGACCUGCACGAAUGGCGUAAUGAUGGCCAGGCUGUCUCCACCCGAGACUCAGUGAAAUUGAACUCGCUGUGAAGAUGCAGUGUACCCGCGGCAAGACGGAAAGACCCCGUGAACCUUUACUAUAGCUUGACACUGAACAUUGAGCCUUGAUGUGUAGGAUAGGUGGGAGGCUUUGAAGCGUGGACGCCAGUCUGCGUGGAGCCGACCUUGAAAUACCACCCUUUAAUGUUUGAUGUUCUAACGUGGACCCGUAAUCCGGGUUGCGGACAGUGUCUGGUGGGUAGUUUGACUGGGGCGGUCUCCUCCUAAAGAGUAACGGAGGAGCACGAAGGUUGGUUAAUCCUGGUCGGACAUCAGGAGGUUAGUGCAAUGGCAUAAGCCAGCUUGACUGCGAGCGUGACGGCGCGAGCAGGUGCGAAAGCAGGUCAUAGUGAUCCGGUGGUUCUGAAUGGAAGGGCCAUCGCUCAACGGAUAAAAGGUACUCCGGGGAUAACAGGCUGAUACCGCCCAAGAGUUCAUAUCGACGGCGGUGUUUGGCACCUCGAUGUCGGCUCAUCACAUCCUGGGGCUGAAGUAGGUCCCAAGGGUAUGGCUGUUCGCCAUUUAAAGUGGUACGCGAGCUGGGUUUAGAACGUCGUGAGACAGUUCGGUCCCUAUCUGCCGUGGGCGAUGGAGAACUGAGGGGGGCUGCUCCUAGUACGAGAGGACCGGAGUGGACGCAUCACUGGUGUUCGGGUUGUCAUGCCAAUGGCACUGCCCGGUAGCUAAAUGCGGAAGAGAUAAGUGCUGAAAGCAUCUAAGCACGAAACUUGCCCCGAGAUGAGUUCUCCCUGAGACUUAGAGUCUCCUGAAGGAACGUUGAAGACGACGACGUUGAUAGGCCGGGUGUGUAAGCGCAGCGAUGCGUUGAGCUAACCGGUACUAAUGAACCGUGAGGCUUAACCUU